GAUAUGGUAGAAUAUAUAUAGAGGUUGUGAGAUAGGUCAACAUGGAAUCGAUCACUUUUGGUAAGAGGAGAUCGUAUCUUACUUACUCUGAUCGAUUAAUAUUUUAAGAAGCCUUUGAUCCAAGUAGGAUGAAUAUUAGAAAGAGUUUUUAAUAUUUUGUUAAUUGAAUCAUCAUUAAAGAUUAAGAAAAAUAUGAAUAUGAUAUUGGAUUUGACAUUAUUCCAUAUCUAGAGUCAUAUUCUGAAUGCAGGGUGAUCGCAGGA
rnacentral:lncRNA from 1 species